GUGGGGAAUAUUGGACAAUGGGGGGAACCCUGAUCCAGCCAUGCCGCGUGUGUGAAGAAGGCCUUUUGGUUGUAAAGCACUUUAAGCGAGGAGGAGGCUACCGAGAUUAAUACUCUUGGAUAGUGGACGUUACUCGCAGAAUAAGCACCGGCUAACUCUGUGCCAGCAGCCGCGGUAAUACAGAGGGUGCAAGCGUUAAUCGGAUUUACUGGGCGUAAAGCGCGCGUAGGUGGCCAAUUAAGUCAAAUGUGAAGUCCCCGAGCUUAACUUGGGAAUUGCAUUCGAUACUGGUUGGCUAGAGUAUGGGAGAGGAUGGUAGAAUUCCAGGUGUAGCGGUGAAAUGCGUAGAGAUCUGGAGGAAUACCGAUGGCGAAGGCAGCCAUCUGGCCUAAUACUGACACUGAGGUGCGAAAACAUGGGGAGCAAACAGGAUUAGAUACCCGAGUAGUCC
rnacentral:rRNA from 1 species